rnacentral:snoRNA from 1 species
AAAUGAUGAUACACCGCUGGCACCAGGCCUAGAGACUUGUACUCUUUACCAUGCGGAAAGCUUGCAAACAGCGGGGUUAUCCCUUUGCUAUAUCUGAU